CCGAAGAUAGUUUAGUGGAGAAUAUCAGCUUUGGGAGCUGGAGGUAGAGGUUUGAGUCCUUUUUUUUUGA
rnacentral:tRNA from 1 species